UACGUAGGGUGCAAGCGUUAAUCGGAAUUACUGGGCGUAAAGCGCACGUAGGCGGCUUUGCAAGUUAGAGGUGAAAGCCCGGGGCUCAACUCCGGAAUUGCCUUUAAAACUGCAUCGCUAGAAUUGUGGAGAGGUAAGUGGAAUUCCCAGUGUAGAGGUGAAAUUCGUAGAUAUUGGGAAGAACACCGGUGGCGAAGGCGGCUCACUGGCUCAUUACUGACGCUCAUGCGCGACAGCGUGGGGAUCAAACAGG
rnacentral:rRNA from 1 species